rnacentral:rRNA from 1 species
AUCAUUAUGAGAGUUUGAUCCUGGCUCAGGACGAACGCUGGCGGCGUGCCUAAUACAUGCAAGUCGAACGCU